AAUAGAUACCCAGGUAGUCCACGCCGUAAACGAUGAGUGCUAAGUGUUGGGGGUUUCCGCCCCUCAGUGCUGCAGCUAACGCAUUAAGCACUCCGCCUGGGGAGUACGGCCGCAAGGCUGAAACUCAAAGGAAUUGACGGGGGCCCGCACAAGCGGUGGAGCAUGUGGUUUAAUUCGAAGCAACGCGAAGAACCUUACCAGGUCUUGACAUCCCGCUGCCCGGUAUAGAGAUAUAUCUUUCCCUUCGGGGACAGCGGUGACAGGUGGUGCAUGGUUGUCGUCAGCUCGUGUCGUGAGAUGUUGGGUUAAGUCCCGCAACGAGCGCAACCCUUGAUCUUAGUUGCCAGCAUUUAGUUGGGCACUCUAAGGUGACUGCCGGUGACAAACCGGAGGAAGGUGGGGAUGACGUCAAAUCAUCAUGCCCCUUAUGACCUGGGCUACACACGUGCUACAAUGGAUGGUACAAAGGGCUGCAAGACCGCGAGGUUUAGCCAAUCCCAUAAAACCAUUCUCAGUUCGGAUUGCAGG
rnacentral:rRNA from 1 species